rnacentral:miRNA from 1 species
AUAAGCGUCUCAGUUCAAUUAUU